rnacentral:rRNA from 1 species
CCUACGGGAGGCAGCAGUGGGGAAUAUUGGACAAUGGAGGAAACUCUGACCCAGCGACGCCGCGUGCGGGAUGAAGGCCUUCGGGUUGUAAACCGCUUUCAGUAGGGAAGAAGCGAAAGUGACGGUACCUACAAAAGAAGCACCGGCUAACUAUGUGCCAGCAGCCGCGGUAAUACAUAGGGUGCAAGCGUUGUCCGGAAUUAUUGGGCGUAAAGAGCUCGUAGGUCGUUUGUUACGUCGGAUGUGAAAACCUGAGGCUCAACCUCAGGCCUGCAUUCGAUACGGGCAAACUAGAGUUUGGUAGGGGAGACUGGAAUUCCUGGUGUAGCGGUGGAAUGCGCAGAUAUCAGGAGGAACACCAAUGGCGAAGGCAGGUCUCUGGGCCAAUACUGACACUGAGGAGCGAAAGUCUGGGGAGCGAACAGGAUUAGAUACCCUGGUAGUCCAGACCGUAAACGGUGGGCACUAGUUGUGGGAACCUUCCACGGUUUCUGCGACGCAGCUAACGCAUUAAGUGCCCCGCCUGGGGAGUACGAGCGCGAGAGUAAACUACGAAAGAAGUAGUAACGGCGUGAGAGUGCGAGGACGACGACGAGGGAGGAGG